rnacentral:rRNA from 1 species
UAAGAGCUUGCUCUUAUGAAGUUAGCGGCGGACGGGUGAGUAACACGUGGGUAACCUGCCCAUAAGACUGGGAUAACUCCGGGAAACCGGGGCUAAUACCGGAUAACAUUUUGAACCGCAUGGUUCGAAAUUGAAAGGCGGCUUCGGCUGUCACUUAUGGAUGGACCCGCGUCGCAUUAGCUAGUUGGUGAGGUAACGGCUCACCAAGGCAACGAUGCGUAGCCGACCUGAGAGGGUGAUCGGCCACACUGGGACUGAGACACGGCCCAGACUCCUACGGGAGGCAGCAGUAGGGAAUCUUCCGCAAUGGACGAAAGUCUGACGGAGCAACGCCGCGUGAGUGAUGAAGGCUUUCGGGUCGUAAAACUCUGUUGUUAGGGAAGAACAAGUGCUAGUUGAAUAAGCUGGCACCUUGACGGUACCUAACCAGAAAGCCACGGCUAACUACGUGCCAGCAGCCGCGGUAAUACGUAGGUGGCAAGCGUUAUCCGGAAUUAUUGGGCGUAAAGCGCGCGCAGGUGGUUUCUUAAGUCUGAUGUGAAAGCCCACGGCUCAACCCGUGGGAGGGUCAUUGGAAACUGGGAGACUUGAGUGCAGAAGAGGAAAGUGGAAUUCCAUGUGUAGCGGUGAAAUGCGUAGGAGAUAUGGAGGAACACCAGUGGCGGAAGGGCGACUUUCUGGGUCUGUAACUGACACUGAGGCGCGAAAGCGUGGGGGAGCCAAAC